UGCAGUGUCUAAUAGCCCUUUUCCAAGUCUUCAUGAAGUCCGGUCACAUGAAUGAGAGCCCUUUCUUACGUUUUCCACUGAGGCAUUCUCUCCUACCCCUUCUCACAGUGACCAUAUAAGUGCAGAACCAGUGAUAGCUCCUGGAUCAUCAUUUCCAGUUGUGCUAUGAACUUACUCAAGCCCAAGUAAAGACACCGUCCCAGGUGGCCAGCUGGGUAACAUCAGCUUGAAGUGAAAUGACCAAGAACAAUAUUCUCUUUAGCUUCCUUAAUAUGUGUCAAGAUUUUCCCUAGAAUUCACAUUCCUGGGCUUCUGAACAAAGCACUGAAUUACCAGACUCAACUCCCCGGUGAGAACUGCAAAACCAAGCAACCUUUGAUAUAUUUUCCUUCCAAUAUUUAGAACAAAAUGAAAGAAAACAAAACCCUGAGAUGGGCAUUUCAGAAUGUGGGCUCCUAAAACCAGCACUUGAAAUACUUCCAGGAAUGCCAGCCAGAACAGAAAGACCACUGGCAGCAAUCUCCAAAGCACACUCAAAAGAUCCACAGGUGGCCAGAUGGUGCCAUGACACAGCCAAGGCUUCCCCAAGGGCCCCAGGAUGGAAGAAAAUACCAGGGCUCUGUCAGAGACAAGCCUGCAUCUGCCAGUGUAAAGAACCUUUCCUAGCCAAGUUAUGACAAUAGUCAUGGGAAUACGUUCCUGUCUUCCACUGCCUUUCCUCAGAUGUGCACCUAAUGUCCAAGAGGAGAUUUAUUGCAAAUGCCUUCACAGUCAUCAGGAUAGAGAAGGAGUACUCAGGGUCUGGGCUUUGCUUUUCUCUUAAGAGGAAACUCUGUUAGAAAUAAAAAGGUCUACAGGA
rnacentral:lncRNA from 1 species